rnacentral:rRNA from 1 species
UACGUAGGGGGCAAGCGUUGUCCGGAUUUAUUGGGCGUAAAGAGCGUGUAGGCGGCCAGGUAGGUCCGUUGUGAAAACUGGAGGCUUAACCUCCAGCUGUCGAUGGAAACCAUCUGGCUAGAGUCCGGAAGAGGAGAGUGGAAUUCCUGGUGUAGCGGUGAAAUGCGCAGAUAUCAGGAGGAACACCGGUGGCGAAGGCGGGUCUCUGGGCCGAAAUUGACGCUGAGGAGCGAAAGCGUGGGGAGCAAACAGG